UGCAGUCGAGCGAUGAACCCUUCGGGGUGGAUUAGCGGCGGACGGGUGAGUAACACGUGGGUAACCUGCCUCAAAGAGGGGAAUAGCCUCCCGAAAGGGAGAUUAAUACCGCAUAAUAUGUUUUGGUCGCAUGACCUAGACAUCAAAGGAUGUUCUUCGGAACUUCCACUUUGAGAUGGACCCGCGGCGCAUUAGCUAGUUGGUGAGGUAAAGGCCCACCAAGGCAACGAUGCGUAGCCGACCUGAGAGGGUGAUCGGCCACAUUGGAACUGAGACACGGUCCAGACUCCUACGGGAGGCAGCAGUGGGGAAUAUUGCGCAAUGGGGGAAACCCUGACGCAGCAACGCCGCGUGAAUGAUGAAGGCCUUCGGGUUGUAAAGUUCUGUCUUCUGGGACGAUAAUGACGGUACCAGAGGAGGAAGCCACGGCUAACUACGUGCCAGCAGCCGCGGUAAUACGUAGGUGGCAAGCGUUGUCCGGAUUUACUGGGCGUAAAGGAUGCGUAGGCGGACAUUUAAGUCAGAUGUGAAAUACCCGAGCUUAACUUGGGUGCUGCAUUUGAAACUGGGUGUCUAGAGUGCAAGAGAGGUAAGUGGAAUUCCUAGUGUAGCGGUGAAAUGCGUAGAGAUUAGGAAGAACACCAGUGGCGAAGGCGACUUACUGGACUGUAACUGACGCUGAGGCAUGAAAGCGUGGGGAGCAAACAGGAUUAGAUACCCUGGUAGUCCACGCCGUANACGAUGAAUACUAGGUGUCGGGGGUCGAACCUCGGUGCCGCAGUUUACACAAUAAGUAUUCCGCCUGGGGAGUACGAUCGNCAGAUUAAAACUCANAGGAAUUGACGGGGGCCCGCACAAGCAGCGGAACAUGUGGUUUAAUUCGAAGCACGCGGAGAACCUUACCUAGAC
rnacentral:rRNA from 1 species